GAAAUAGCAAGCAGUGAGAAAUAGCGAGAGGAAAUGAGCUUGUCAGGCAGGCCCUGGUAAAAGCUCUGAAGCUUAUUUCAGGAGAGAGGGAGAGCUUUAACAUUUAUAAAAUGUUGGUUAAGAAAGAUGGAGCAAAAUUAUUUCAAUUUAUAAAGGAGACCAAAAAUUGGGAAUACAAUGAAUACAACUUAAUCCAAAAAAGAAUUCAGGAGAAAGAUCUCAAUUUCUGAAUGACGUAGAGGUGUGACCAUGAUACACGGUUACUUCUGCUUCUCAGAUUGGCCUUCGGUUUUGGACACAAUGGACUAUGCCAUCCUUUGAUAGAUAUGGCUGGAUUAAAUGGAAUGCAAAGAUUUUGCAGCAGUGUAGCAGGAAAGCAGCGUCCAUCAUAAAGAACCUCACCAUGCAGGCCAUGCUCUCUUCCCACUGCUGCCACCUGAACGGAGGUACAGAAGCCUCAUCUCCAGGGUCAAUAAGUUACCUCUCAGUCAUCAGACUCUUGAACCAGAUGGGAUAACUUCACUCAUGCUAACACUGAACCAAUUCCACAACUAUGGAAUCAAUUUUAAGGACUCAUCUGCAACACCUGUUACUUUGUAUUUACUGUGAAUGGCUGCAAGAACAUGAAUCGCAAUUUCCCCAAGGACACGGCCUGGAAGAUGAACAUGCCUUUGAGAUUCUGAAGUUUCGCUGCCCUGUGGACAGAUUUUUGGUUGCCAAAAGAAUGUGAAAACUUAGGGAAAUGAAAGGAAGGUGGUAUCAAGUGUGGAAGUCGUGCAUGGUCUGACUCAGGGGUCGGCAACCUUUACCACUGAAAGUGCCAUAUGGACCCAUUUCCCACAGAAAACACUGGGAGCCACAAAACCCAUUUGACAUUUAAAAUGAAAUAACACUGCAUACAAUGGUUUUUUUUGCCUUUAUGCUAUGUAUAAACAAACUAUAAUGUGUUGCAUUUAUGAAAUUGAUGAACUCCUGCAGAGAAAACGAAAUUACAUUUCUGCAUGCAACAAAAACAUUUUGAACUCCGAAAAAAAGACGUUGGGUUAAAGGUUACUCCAUAAUUAGCCUACCUUGGAUCGAAAAAUUAAAAGAAAUCGCGCACUGGCAGGUGUCAGGCAUUGGCAGUGGUGACGUAUAUUAAUAGCGAUAAAAACACGUUGCAGCGGUGUGCUACACGCAGCGCUAAAAUAACGACACUGCAGUCAAAGAUAACUUUAUUCGAACUAAACAGCCUUGCUUUAAAGCCUCCCUCAACCCGCCCCCCCCCGCCCCCGUGGGCACGGAUGCUCCAAAAGACACGUACUCACAAACCCCCGUAGGCUAUCUCCCUUAGCCGGAACGGUGGCUAAUUGUGAGCCGGUUCGGAUGUGCCAGGAAAUGGGGUCGCCACAACGUUUCAUUUAGAUUGUACAAGAUCACCAUAAUGUUCAAAUUUCGAAUUACAUUUCAAAAACUAACAAACCACGGGGAGCCGCAGCACAGAGAUGAAAGAGUCGCAUGCGGCUCCGGAGCCGCGGGUUGCCGACCCCUGGUCUGACUGAAUCAAAGCCAGCAUCUUAGCCAGUAAAACUGGUAUAGUGAUGACAUUCAGGCAAGGCUAAAUAUGCAAUGCAACACAAUAGCCAUAACAAUCUUGGGAGAAACCUAUGGAAAACAUUCUGGUGAGUUUGGCUGAGUGACCAAACUCAAUCUGGUCAAAUUGAGUUUGAAAAGAAACUCAAUUUUUCAGCAGAAAAUUGAGUGACGAUUACGCUCUUUCCCACACCAAAAACUACCCCUACCAUGAAGACAUAGUUACUUAGCUACUCAUAUCAUUGGACAGACCAGAGCUGAGUAAGAUUUCGAUUCCUUGCAGAGGACUUGAGUCAUCUCAGAAGUAAUGCUCUCUUGCAGCAGUAAGUAAAAACACUGCAGCGGCAGAGUAAGGAGUGUUUCCUUACUACUACAGUUUCUGCAUGUGAUUGUAAAGUUAUUCCAAAUGCUCCUAUUCUGUCAGGAGACCAAAGCAGCAGAAUGCUUUAUCAAGAUCCUGCAACAGCUAUUUUACAACAGGAGCCACCUUGUUUGAACAAGCCUCAACAAAAGUUCAAACUCCACACCGAAGCCAAAAACGUUCUUUCUGUUCUCAUAGGUGGAUCAGGUUAGGGAAAACAGUGCUAACAGGCCUACCACAGAAAACCCUCUACAUUGAAAGCAGCUAGUGAUCUUGCAUUCAGCAACAAGAGCAGAAUCUUGAAAAAAAUUGAUACUGCUAAGCACUGAAUUUGAAAAUAAUUGGACAAAAGAAACUUGAAGCAAGUUUUUUUUGUACAGGGAUCACAAUCAAGAAAAUGAUUUGCUAAAACCAAGUGGAUACAUUUCUCCCAUGCUUUCCUUACAUUUAUUUGUCUUCGUUUAUCACAAGCAAAAUCUAGAGUUAACUUUGCCUUGAAUGUCACAAACUACAAUUUCAUGAAUAGGAUGCACGAUUUUGCUUUAAAGUUAGCAUAUCCUAGCAAAUAUCCUGAGAAUUACACAUGAACAGACAGAAGAUGAGUAUUUAGUAUAAAGUUUCGAGGUGAUGCCUUAUCUGAAUGUCAUAACUCAAUAAAGAUAGUAAAAUUUUAACUCAAGUAAUUAACCGUUUUUAUGGUGUAAGUUUCUAUGUGUAUGGUGGAAUACGUAGCCAAUGCAUACACUACAUUCUUUCUGAAGCUUUUGAGCACCUGAAGUUUAUCAAAAUGGAGAAAUACAGACAAA